AGCUCAAUGGUAGAGCAGUCCCUGAAAAGGAUUGGUUGCAGGUUCGAGUCCUGUC
rnacentral:tRNA from 1 species